rnacentral:rRNA from 1 species
UAACGCGUGAGGAACCUGCCUCAAAGAGGGGGACAACAGUUGGAAACGACUGCUAAUACCGCAUAAGCCCACGGUGCCGCAUGGCACAGAGGGAAAAGGAGCAAUCCGCUUUGAGAUGGCCUCGCGUCCGAUUAGCUAGUUGGUGAGGUAACGGCCCACCAAGGCAACGAUCGGUAGCCGGACUGAGAGGUUGAACGGCCACAUUGGGACUGAGACACGGCCCAGACUCCUACGGGAGGCAGCAGUGGGGAAUAUUGCACAAUGGGGGAAACCCUGAUGCAGCGACGCCGCGUGGAGGAAGAAGGUCUUCGGAUUGUAAACUCCUGUUGUUAGGGAAGAUAAUGACGGUACCCAACAAGGAAGUGACGGCUAACUACGUGCCAGCAGCCGCGGUAAAACGUAGGUCACAAGCGUUGUCCGGAAUUACUGGGUGUAAAGGGAGCGCAGGCGGGAAGACAAGUUGGAAGUGAAAUCUAUGGGCUCAACCCAUAAACUGCUUUCAAAACUGUUUUUCUUGAGUAGUGCAGAGGUAGGCGGAAUUCCCGGUGUAGCGGUGGAAUGCGUAGAUAUCGGGAGGAAUACCAGUGGCGAAGGCGGCCUACUGGGCACCAACUGACGCUGAGGCUCGAAAGUGUGGGUAGCAAACAGGAUUAGAUACCCUGGUAGUCCACACCGUAAACGAUGAUUACUAGGUGU